UACGGGGGGGGGCAAGCGUUGUUCGGAAUUACUGGGCGUAAAGGGCUCGUAGGCGGUCUGUCGCGUCUGCUGUGAAAACUCGGGGCUUAACCCCGGGCCUGCAGUGGGUACGGGCAGACUAGAGUGCGGUAGGGGGAGACUGGAAUUCCGGGUGUAGCGGUGGAAUGCGUAGAGAUCCGGAAGAACACCGGUGGCGAAGGCGGUGAGCUGGGCAGUUGCUGACACUGAGGCGCGACAGCGUGGGGAGCAAACAGG
rnacentral:rRNA from 1 species